rnacentral:rRNA from 1 species
UACGUAGGUGGCAAGCGUUGUCCGGAUUUACUGGGCGUAAAGGGCGUGCAGGCGGUUUGUUAAGUGCAGGGUGAAAGCUCCCGGCUCAACUGGGAGAGGUCCUUGCAUACUGGCGAACUCGAGGGGGGCAGAGGAAAGGUGGAAUUCCCGGUGUAGUGGUGAUAUGCGUAGAUAUCGGGAGGAACACCUGUGGCGAAGGCGGCUUUCUGGGCCUUACC